rnacentral:SRP_RNA from 1 species
GGCGGGCCCCUGCGCAUUGUGGCAUGGUCAACCUGGUCAGGUCGGGAACGAAGCAGCCACAGCCAUUUACUGCAAGUGCCGUAGACAAGGCUCGCCUCU